rnacentral:rRNA from 1 species
AACGCUAGCUACAGGCUUAACACAUGCAAGUCGAGGGGAAACGAUAGAGAAAGCUUGCUUUUUCUAGGCGUCGACCGGCGCACGGGUGAGUAACGCGUAUCCAACCUGCCCACCACUUGGGGAUAACCUUGCGAAAGUAAGACUAAUACCCAAUGACGUCUCUAGAAGACAUCUGAAAGGGAUUAAAGAUUUAUCGGUGAUGGAUGGGGAUGCGUCUGAUUAGCUUGUUGGCGGGGUAACGGCCCACCAAGGCAACGAUCAGUAGGGGUUCUGAGAGGAAGGUCCCCCACAUUGGAACUGAGACACGGUCCAAACUCCUACGGGAGGCAGCAGUGAGGAAUAUUGGUCAAUGGGCGAGAGCCUGAACCAGCCAAGUAGCGUGCAGGAUGACGGCCCUAUGGGUUGUAAACUGCUUUUAUAGGGGAAUAAAGUGAGCCACGUGUGGUUUUUUGCAUGUACCCUAUGAAUAAGGACCGGCUAAUUCCGUGCCAGCAGCCGCGGUAAUACGGAAGGUCCGGGCGUUAUCCGGAUUUAUUGGGUUUAAAGGGAGCGUAGGCCGCCUGGUAAGCGUGUUGUGAAAUGUCGUUGCUCAACAACGUCACUGCAGCGCGAACUGCCGGGCUUGAGUGUGCGGAAAGCGGGCGGAAUUUGUGGUGUAGCGGUGAAAUGCUUAGAUAUCACGAAGAACUCCGAUUG